AUUGAACGCUGGCGGAAUGCUUUACACAUGCAAGUCGAACGGCAGCACGGACUUCGGUCUGGUGGCGAGUGGCGAACGGGUGAGUAAUGUAUCGGAACGUACCCAGUCGUGGGGGAUAACGUAGUGAAAAUUACGCUAAUACCGCAUACGAUCUAUGGAUGAAAGCGGGGGACCGCAAGACCUCGCGCGAUUGGAGCGGCCGAUAUCGGAUUAGGUAGUUGGUGGGGUAAAGGCCCACCAAGCCAACGAUCUGUAGCUGGUCUGAGAGGACGACCAGCCACACUGGAACUGAGACACGGUCCAGACUCCUACGGGAGGCAGCAGUGGGGAAUUUUGGACAAUGGGCGAAAGCCUGAUCCAGCCAUUCCGCGUGCAGGAUGAAGGCCCUCGGGUUGUAAACUGCUUUUGUACAGAACGAAAAGGUUUCUACUAAUACUAGGAGCUCAUGACGGUACUGUAAGAAUAAGCACCGGCUAACUACGUGCCAGCCGCCGCCGUAA
rnacentral:rRNA from 1 species